AGUGAACGCCGGCGGUAGGCCUAACACAUGCAAGUCGAACGGCAGCACAGUAAGAGCUUGCUCUUACGGGUGGCGAGUGGCGGACGGGUGAGGAAUACAUCGGAAUCUACUUUUUCGUGGGGGAUAACGUAGGGAAACUUACGCUAAUACCGCAUACGACCUACGGGUGAAAGCAGGGGAUCUUCGGCCCUUGCGCGAUUGAAUGAGCCGAUGUCGGAUUAGCUAGUUGGCGGGGUAAAGGCCCACCAAGGCGACGAUCCGUAGCUGGUCUGAGAGGAUGAUCAGCCACACUGGAACUGAGACACGGUCCAGACUCCUACGGGAGGCAGCAGUGGGGAAUAUUGGACAAUGGGCGCAAGCCUGAUCCAGCCAUACCGCGUGGGUGAAGAAGGCCUUCGGGUUGUAAAGCCCUUUUGUUGGGAAAGAAAAGCAGCAGGUUAAUACCCCGCUGUUCUGACGGUACCCAAAGAAUAAGCACCGGCUAACUUCGUG
rnacentral:rRNA from 1 species